rnacentral:rRNA from 1 species
UCGCGGCCUAUCAGCUUGUUGGUGAGGUAACGGCUCACCAAGGCAUCGACGGGUAGCUGGUCUGAGAGGAUGAUCAGCCACACUGGGACUGAGACACGGCCCAGACUCCUACGGGAGGCAGCAGUGGGGAAUCUUGCGCAAUGGGCGAAAGCCUGACGCAGCAACGCCGCGUGCGGGAAGAAGGCUUUAGGGUUGUAAACCGCUUUCAGCAGGGAAGAAAAUGACGGUACCUGCAGAAGAAGGUGCGGCCAACUACGUGCCAGCAGCCGCGGUGACACGUAGGCACCAAGCGUUGUCCGGAUUUAUUGGGCGUAAAGAGCUCGUAGGCGGUUCAGUAAGUCGGGUGUGAAAACUCUGGGCUUAACCCAGAGCCGCCACCCGAUACUGCUGUGACUUGAGUCCGGUAGGGGAGCGGGGAAUUCCUGGUGUAGCGGUGAAAUGCGCAGAUAUCAGGAGGAACACCGGUGGCGAAGGCGCCGCUCUGGGCCGAGACUGACGCUGAGGAGCGAAAGCAUGGGUAGCAAACAGGAUUAGAUACCCUGGUAGUCCAUGCCGUAAACGUUGGGCACUAGGUGUGGGCAUCAACCAACGAUGUCCGCGCCGUCGCUAACGCAUUAAGUGCCCCGCCUGGGGAGUACGG